rnacentral:rRNA from 1 species
UGGGGAAUCUUGCGCAAUGGGGGAAACCCUGACGCAGCAACGCCGCGUGGGUGAUGAAGGCCUUCGGGUCGUAAAGCCCUGUCAGGUGGAAAGAAACUUGUGGAUGCUAAUAUCAUCCACACUUGACGGUACCACCGGAGGAAGCACCGGCUAACUCCGUGCCAGCAGCCGCGGUAAUACGGAGGGUGCAAGCGUUGUUCGGAAUUAUUGGGCGUAAAGCGCGUGUAGGUGGUCGGGUAAGUCAGAUGUGAAAGCCUUCUGCUUAACAGAAGAAGUGCAUUUGAGACUGCUCGGCUGGAGUACGGGAGAGGAGAGUGGAAUUCCCGGUGUAGAGGUGAAAUUCGUAGAUAUUGGGAGGAACACCAGUGGCGAAGGCGGCUCUCUGGUCCGAUACUGACGCUGAGACGCGAAAGCGUGGGGAGCAAACAGGAUUAGAUACCCUGGUAGUCCACGCCGUAAACGAUGGGCACUAGGUGUAGGAGGUAUUGACCCCUUCUGUGCCGAAGCUAACGCAUUAAGUGCCCCGCCUGGGGAGUACGGCCGCAAGGCUA